rnacentral:rRNA from 1 species
UACCAGCACCCCGAGUGGUCGGGACGAUUAUUGGGCCUAAAGCAUCCGUAGCCGGUCCUACAAGUCUUCCGUUAAAUCCACCUGCUUAACAGAUGGGCUGCGGAAGAUACUAUAGGGCUAGGAGGCGGGAGAGGCAAGCGGUACUCAGUGGGUAGGGGUAAAAUCCUCUGAUCCACUGAAGACCACCAGUGGCGAAGGCGGCUUGCCAGAACGCGCUCGACGGUGAGGGAUGAAGGCUGAGGGAGCAAACCGG